rnacentral:rRNA from 1 species
UCUUUGGAGAGUUUGAUCCUGGCUCAGGACGAACGCUGGCGGCGUGCCUAAUACAUGCAAGUCGAGCGGACCGGAUCGGAGCUUGCUCUGAUUUGGUCAGCGGCGGACGGGUGAGUAACA